CGCUAUCACUCCUACGGGGAGCAGCAGUAGGGAAUCUUCCACAAUGGACGAAAGUCUGAUGGAGCAACGCCGCGUGAACGAUGAAGGCCUUCGGGUCGUAAAGUUCUGUUGUAAGGGAAGAACAAGUGCCGCAGGCAAUGGCGGCACCUUGACGGUACCUUGCGAGAAAGCCACGGCUAACUACGUGCCAGCAGCCGCGGUAAUACGUAGGUGGCAAGCGUUGUCCGGAAUUAUUGGGCGUAAAGCGCGCGCAGGCGGCCUCUUAAGUCUGAUGUGAAAGCCCCGGCUCAACCGGGGAGGGCCAUUGGAAACUGGGAGGCUUGAGUAUAGGAGAGAAGAGUGGAAUUCCACGUGUAGCGGUGAAAUGCGUAGAGAUGUGGAGGAACACCAGUGGCGAAGGCGACUCUUUGGCCUAUAACUGACGCUGAGGCGCGAAAGCGUGGGGAGCAAACAGGAUUAGAUACCCUGGUAG
rnacentral:rRNA from 1 species